UCCAGCUAGAGUACUAGAGGUGGUAGCUGGCGGUAGAGGGAGAACAGGGAGGGAGUCCUAGACAUGAGAGGUGCCCGUGUUCCAUCGCAGAGAUUCAGGGGGACAUUAACCAAGAUCCUUGCAAUACCACCGAGUGGACCAAUGUUCCCAAGGCAGUUGAUCUGCCAAACAAACACACCUCUGCCUCUGACAGCUUCUCCCUGUGCUGACCACCGAUGGACCGUACACAUGAGAGCUGCCGUUGAUGGGCUCAGGGAGAAAGACAUCCUGAGCGGGUGGAUGGGACAUACAGCUCUACCACCAGUGUCAUGACUGUGUCAUUAGCUGCCACAGCUAAACUAAUUUACUAAUGUUUAUUGCACCAUAUAGUAUGUGUUUUCUUUUUCUCCAUACAAGAUCUAAGCUCCUUCCUGGUUGGCCCUGUCCGUUGAACAGCACCAGUGUCUCACAACCCCUCUGUCUCAGUCACCAGUAAUUAUGCUGCAAUAGUUUGUGCUGGGGGCUAGGGUCAUCUUUUCUUAUCUGGUGUACUGUGUGUACUUAGGCAUGCUCUCACUAAUCCCCCCCAUUUGUCAACAACAGCUUCAACACAUCAUAGCAACAUGCUUUACUGAAAAUCUUUAAACAUGUAUAUAGACUUCAGUGGAGGCUGCUGAGGGGAGGAUGGCUCAUAAAAAUGGCUGGAAUGGUAGCAAAUGUGAUUUCCAUGUGGUUGAUACCAUUUCAUUGAAUCCAUUACUGUGAGCCGUCCUCCCCUCAACAGCCUCCACUGAUAGACUUUAUGGGGGUGAUGCUGUUGCCCAUCAAAUGUCAUAUAUUAUGCCAAUAUGUCAAAGUUCUCAAUUAGGAAGAUGAUGUUCAGAAUGACAUGUUCAUGACUGUUGAUGUUCACAGGACUCUCCAAUGCUAUGUUGAACGAGCACCACAGAUGGAGGGGGAGGAAAACAGAUCGCUUCUCUCUACCACACCUUCACCAAGUCAUCCAAUUUUUGCUUCAUUUUCUAAAAUAAAUACAGAAUUCAUUUUG